rnacentral:sRNA from 11 species
UUGGUCUCAUCUAUUCUGGGGACGAAAUCCUCGUUGGAAUGAAUAUGGUAAAAAGAGUCUACAUUUUCCUCGGAAAGAAACCGCUGCAAUGGUUCUUCAAAAAGAACA